UUGAGAUAGCUCAGCUGGUAGAGCACGAGACUCUUAAUUACAGGGUCGUGGGUUCAAGCUCCACACAGGGCAAAA